UGCUUUCCUUUUGUGCAAAAAUUUCAAUCACGUUUACGUUCUCUCUCCUCCUCCACUUUCUCUCACACUCUCUCUCUCUCUCUUUGGUUGUAAAUCCGUAGAUAACGAGAAAUGGUAGCGGUGAGAGAUUUCUCUCUCUCUCUGUUCCAAAAAAGAAUUUUUUAUUUGUAAAACAUGUUUUGUAUUACACUUUUGGUAUUUAACUUGGAACAACCAAAGUGCUUAAAUGUGUACUCAAACACCCGAACUCAAAUCCCGAACGGAAUAUCCGCGCACCUUUCGCCGUAACUUAUACAGCACGGAAUUAUCGAUUUUUUUUGGCACGGGAACGGAAACCAGACGACGCGAAAUCCGCAAAUAAAAAAAAACAUGCACACCGCACCGCCAAAGGGUUAAGCUGUGGGUUUCUAGGUUUUUUAACCCAUCGAAAAAUUGGUUUUUAUACACCUGGUGGCACAAAUUUUAUAUAUAUUUUCACAGAUUUCUUUUUUUCGGUAGUUGUGCAACUGUUUUGGAUCCCCGCCUACGCCUGCUGACUUGGCUGAUUACUACGGCGUUACUUUGUGCAUCGGGUAUAUAUCGCGUAUAAAUCGAAUAUAGCCCAUCGCCCGUCACCGGCUAACGUGUCGCUCCAACUGAAAACUCAUUGCGCCCACAAUGUGGCAAGGCAACACUGUUGUCUCCAAGUCUCUAAAAAUCUCUGCGCUGGCGCUGGAGAGUGACCAACACGUUUCCCAUUCCCCAAACAAUUCUCCAAUGCGUGCAACCUACGAUUCUCUUCUCACUUGCAGUUUCCAGAGUUACCAGAUGGACGAUGAUAAAUCAAAAAUUGUAUUAUAUCGCAGUUCAAAACGUAUUUAUACUGCAAAAACACAAUAUCAAACCUAAGGGCUACUAAUAAAUUAAAUGACUUAUCGAAUCCAGGUUAAUUUGCUAACAAAUAUUUCUAUCAAUAUCAAUAUUUUUCAAAAACAUUUUUUAAGUAUAUAAUGAAAAUUUACAGCAAGCAUUCAAAAACAAACUGAACACUAUGAGUCUACUGACUGACCGUGAGGCCUAAAUUAUGUAAUAUUGAUGGAGAGAUUACAAAAAAAAGGCAGUUUCCCAUUCAUUGAAUUCUUGGCCCAUUCCCACCCAGCAACUGUGCAAAGGCGCGUUUAUCUGGCAACCCUGGCCGCACUCACAAAGUGCACUUACUACACUUUGGAUGUGAUGCCCGUGUGGGCGCUCAUGGAAAAUUGGGAGGGGGACGCCAGGGGAAAGAGGGGUCUUACGUAGUGCUGUUCGCUUUUGUACAUGCGCGCUCAACUCGUGCCUCCAACAACGAUGGCUAAAGCUGAGGAACGAAAGUGUAAGGCUUUUAAAAUAUCUAAAAAUUCUCCCUGGAGCGAAAAUAAUUAUUUAUUUUUCGGCUAUGGAAACGCAGGAAGCCCAGCGGAAAAGCGGACCAGCGGCGGCGAGUGAAAAACUGAAUGGCGCUUACUACAGAAAACAGCACGCGACGCGUUUUUUGGAGAAUUGACUAAACAGCGCUAAAAGAGAAAGAGAGAGCGGAGCACGCGCUCCCCAAUUGUCUCUCUCCCAACGACUCUUCCACUCCAGCAGUGCUGCCAAAUCAGUUGUUUCCAGUCAUUUCGGGCUGCUAAAAUCAUUUCGAAACAAGAAGCGGAGUUUCAGACUUUUUAACAUUUAGCAAGAGUUUUUCAGAUUUUUCUUUUUAAGUCUAUUUAUAAGAAAUUUGAUCCUGCUAGAUUUUUGGAAUUUUAAAUUUAAAUCGGUUUUUCAUUAUAGAUGGUUCAGGCGAAUCUGGCAGAAAAAAGGAGGCCUUUAUUUUCUUUACAUAGUUUAAAUUACCAUUUAUAUAAUGAAACCACUGCUUUUAAUUUUAAAAUUUUUUUUAUUAGAAUAAUUAUAUGAAAAUCAAUGGGUUUUUUAGCUUUAUUUUGUUAACAUCUGUUAUUGCUCAUUAAUAGUUGGCAACACUGCUCUCCAGCAAGUAAAAAUUGCAAAUUGCUCUCGCAAUCACUCUCUCUCUCUCAAUUUUGCGCGUGCCUUGCAUAAACGAUAAACCCAAUAAACAUUUUUUGCAGACAAUUUAAGUUUUCUAAACGCCAAAAACA